CCAGUUUGUUUCGUAAAACGGUUGAAACGCACACUUAAGGAGCUCCGAUCGCCCUGCUGCCACAUACAAGAUGGCGGUGACGUAACGUAGGACUCAGAGCUCCAUGAGGCGUCUACGUAUUGAUGUCUAUGGUAGCAUCUAUCUGAAAGGACAAGCAAUGGAGGGUGUGACCUCGUUGAGACAAAACAGAAAUGUGACUGGUCACCUGAUCCUCUGCCCACGCACACGAGCUUCCUCCUCCACCUCCACCCCCCGCUUUCCCUCUCCAAAAUCAGAGAAGCUCAUUUCAUCUCAGCAGUGAAUGGAUGUGUGCUGCCGUAAUAACAAGGGCACCUGGUUGCGGGACGGGACUGACGGUGUUUGACCCGGGUACAUCAGAGACACUCAAGACUCUGGUUUCAGUCAGUGAUGUCAUGUGGGUGUAGCCGUCUCCUUGCCAAAACGACGGAGGCUGGUCCGACGUGUGCCAGACAGGAAGCAGGACAGAUUUGACAACAGAUGCAGUACACAGCCCUCAUCAGGUUGCAGACUCUGGAAUAAUGAUUUCAUAUUAAUUGUAUUUUGUGCUAUUUUAUGUCGAGGUAAUUUGUGUUGCAGUUCGAGUGUAGUGUUUUCAUAAUAACACGAUCAGAUUAAAAUACUUACUUUGUACAGGAAAUAUAGACCAGUGCCAUCAGUUAAAAGAAUUGGAUUGCCGUAUCAAUAAUGUUACAUUUCAGAAGCUACUACUUAAAUGUACUAUACUAAUGCAUUUAAAUAGUCA